AACUCAGCAAUGGUCUUUGUUUUGUCUGUCUGAUUUGGUUCAAAUAUAGCCCCAAAAUCUAUGUUUAAUAUUAGGUUUUGUUUGGUCCAUCUGAUUUGGUCCAAAUUUAGGCCAAAAAUAAAUGUUGAAAUAACAGUGAAACUCUGCGUGACUUCUACGUGCUGUAAUGGGCGCGCGCGCUGAACUGGAGCGGAGGACGUCACCAUGGAAACGAGGCGGCAGCCCAACCGUCAAGCAGCUGAACGCUGACUCUCAAUGUGGUUUUCACUAUUGUUUUUUAGGUUCUUCCAUGCUGAUGGCUGUGCUCUAGAGUCAUAUCUCCUGUCGAAGAACAUUUUUAGACAUUAUGAACCAUGAAAAAGUUUAGCUCCAACCCCAGUUAAGCAGACCUGGGCAGCUGAUCAAGGAUCACCAGAAACUCUGCAGAACAUUGGUCCUCCAGCCCAGGACUGGACACCAGUGUUGUCUAAGACAGCUACAAUGAAGCCACAAAUGCAGUUCAUAGUUCCUGUAUUUCUAUAAUGCAUUAAUGAAUAACAAUAAUUAAAAAAAAAUGUAAUGUCAAGGUUUUGUGUUAAUUCCAGCUAUGUUGAGUAUUCUGUGAAUAAUUUUGAUUUUAGGUGCAUAUUCUUAAUUCUUUGCAAAACAACCUGAACUGUUUGCUAUUGAAAGGU